UACAGAGGUCCCAAGCGUUGUUCGGAUUCAUUGGGCGUAAAGGGUGCGUAGGCGGCGCGGUAAGUCGGGGGUGAAAUCUCGGAGCUUAACUCCGAAACUGCAUUCGAUACUGCCGUGCUUGAGGACCGGAGAGGAGACUGGAAUUUACGGUGUAGCGGUGAAAUGCGUAGAUAUCGUAAGGAAGACCAGUGGCGAAGGCGGGUCUCUGGACAGUUCCUGACGCUGAGGCACGAAGGCCAGGGGAGCAAACGGG
rnacentral:rRNA from 1 species